rnacentral:rRNA from 1 species
AAUGAACGUUGGCGGCGUGGAUUAGGCAUGCAAGUCGAGCGAGAAGUUUACUUCGGUACAAUGGACAGCGGCGAAAGCGACAGUAAUGUGUAGGUACCUACCCCCCGAUCUGGGAUAGCUGCGGGAAACUGCAGGUAAUACCGGAUAAUGUCUUCGGACCAAAGGUGUGAUUCCGUCAGGGGAGGGGCCUGCAUCCUAUUAGCUUGUUGGUGAGGUAAUGGCUCACCAAGGCAACGAUGGGUAGCGGGUGUGAGAGCAUGACCCGCGUCAUUGGGACUGAGACACUGCCCAGACAUCUACGGAUGGCUGCAGUCGAGAAUCUUCGGCAAUGGGCGAAAGCCUGACCGAGCGACGCCGCGUGCGGGAUGAAGGCCCUCGGGUUGUAAACCGCUGUCGUUGGGGAGGAAAUGCAAAAGGGUUAUCCCUUCUGUUUGACCGAUCCAAGGAGGAAGUACGGGCUAAGUUCGUGCCAGCAGCCGCGGUAAGACGAACCGUACGAACGUUAUUCGGAAUUACUGGGCUUAAAGGGUGCGUAGGCUGCACGGAAAGUUGGGUGUGAAAGCCCUCAGCUCAACUGAGGAAUUGCAUCCAAAAUUGCCGUGCUUGAGGGAGACAGAGGUGAGCGGAACUCAAGGUGGAGCGGUGAAAUGCGUUGAUAUCUUGAGGAACACCGGUGGCGAAAGCGGCUCACUGGGUCUCUUCUGACGCUGAGGCACGAAAGCUAAGGUAGCAAACGGA